rnacentral:rRNA from 1 species
UACAGAGGGCUCGAGCGUUAGGCGGAAUCACUGGGCUUAAAGCGUGUGUAGGCGGAUUGGUAAGUACUUUGUGAAAUCCCACGGCUUAACCGUGGAACUGCUUGGUAUACUGCCAGUCUUGAGCCAGCUAGGGGCUACCGGAACAAAUGGUGGAGCGGUGAAAUGCGCAGAUAUCAGGAGGAACACCAAUGGCGAAGGCAGCUCGCUGGGACGGUACUGACGCUGAGGCGCGAAAGCGUGGGGAGCAAACAGG